AAGGGAGAGGAUUACGUGGGAAUCUACCCUCAGACCUGGGAUAGCGGCGGGAAACUGCCGGUAAUACCAGAUAAUGUCUGCGGACCAAAGGUGUGAUUCCGUCUGGGGAUGAGCCCACGUCCUAUUAGCUAGUUGGCAGGGUAAUGGCCUACCAAGGCAAUGAUGGGUAGCGGGUGUGAGAGCAUGACCCGCCUCACUGGGACUGAGAACUGCCCAGACACCUACGGGUGGCUGCAGUCGAGAAUCUUCGGCAAUGAGCGCAAGCUUGACCGAGCGACGCCGCGUGCGGGAUGAAGGCCUUCGGGUUGUAAACCGCUGUCGUAGGGGAGCAAGAAAUGAGGGUUCUCCCUCAAAUUUGAGCGAUCCUAGGAGGAAGGACGGGCUAAGUUCGUGCCAGCAGCCGCGGUAAGACGAACCGUCCAAACGUUAUUCGGUAUCACUGGGCUUAAAGAGUUCGUAGGCGGCUCCGUAGGUGAGGUGUGAAAUCCCUCGGCUUAACCGAGGAAUUGCGCUUCAAACCGUGGAGCUAGAGGUAGACAGGGGUAAGCGGAACAGAUGGUGGAGCGGUGAAAUGCGUUGA
rnacentral:rRNA from 1 species